rnacentral:rRNA from 1 species
GCAGCAGGCGCGAAACCUUUACACUGCACGCAAGUGCGAUAAGGGGACCCCGAGUGCGAGGGCAUACAGUCCUCGCUUUUCACUACCGUAAGGUGGUAGUGGAAUAAGAGCUGGGCAAGACCGGUGCCAGCCGCCGCGGUAAUACCGGCAGCUCGAGUGAUGGCCGAUCUUAUUGGGCCUAAAGCGUCCGUAGCCGGCCACACAAGUCCAUCGGGAAAUCCGCCAGCCUAACUGGCGGGCGUCCGGUGGAAACUGUGUGACUUGGGACCGGAAGACCCAACAGGUACGUCUUGGGUAGGAGUGAAAUCCCGUAAUCCUGGACGGACCACCGAUAGCGAAAGCAUGUUGGGAAGACGGAUCCGACGGUGAGGGACGAAAGCCAGGGUCUCGAACCGGAUUAGAUACCCGGGUAGUCCUGGCCGUAAACGAUGUCUGCUAGGUGUGACUCCCACUACGAGUGGGUGUUGUGCCGUAGGGAAGCCGCUAAGCAGACCGCCUGGGAAGUACGUCCGCAAGGAUGAAACUUAAAGGAAUUGGCGGGGGAGCACUACAACC